rnacentral:rRNA from 1 species
GACGAACGCUGGCGGCGUGCCUAAUACAUGCAAGUCGAGCGGACAGAAGGGAGCUUGCUCCCGGAAGUUAGCGGCGGACGGGUGAGUAACACGUGGGCAACCUACCCUGUAGAUCGGGAUAACAUCGAGAAAUCGGUGCUAAUACCGGAUAAUCAUUUGAAGUGCAUGCUUCGAAUGUAAAAGAUGGCUCCGGCUAUCACUACGGGACAGGCUCGCGGAGCAUUAGCUAGUUGGUAAGGUAAUGGCUUACCAAGGCAACGAUGCGUAGCCGACCUGAGAGGGUGAUCGGCCACACUGGGACUGAGACACGGCCCAGACUCCUACGGGAGGCAGCAGUAGGGAAUCUUCCGCAAUGGACGAAAGUCUGACGGAGCAACGCCGCGUGAGUGAUGAAGGUUUUCGGAUCGUAAAGCUCUGUUGUUAGGGAAGAACAAGUGCCGUUUGAAUAAGGCGGCACCUUGACGGUACCUAACCAGAAAGCCACGGCUAACUACGUGCCAGCCGCCGCCGUAAAAC